UACGGGGGGGGCAAGCGUUGUUCGGAAUUACUGGGCGUAAAGGGCUCGUAGGCGGCCAACUAAGUCAGACGUGAAAUCCCUCGGCUUAACCGGGGAACUGCGUCUGAUACUGGAUGGCUAGAGGUUGGGAGAGGGAUGCGGAAUUCCAGGUGUAGCGGUGAAAUGCGUAGAUAUCUGGAGGAGCACCGGUGGCGAAGGCGGCAUCCUGGACCAAUUCUGACGCUGAGGAGCGAAAGCCAGGGGAGCAAACGGG
rnacentral:rRNA from 1 species